rnacentral:rRNA from 1 species
UACGUAGGGGGCAAGCGUUGUCCGGAAUUAUUGGGCGUAAAGCGCGCGCAGGCGGUCUCUUAAGUCUGAUGUGAAAGCCCACGGCUCAACCGUGGAGGGUCAUUGGAAACUGGGGGACUUGAGUGUAGGAGAGGAAAGUGGAAUUCCACGUGUAGCGGUGAAAUGCGUAGAUAUGUGGAGGAACACCAGUGGCGAAGGCGACUUUCUGGCCUACAACUGACGCUGAGGCGCGAAAGCGUGGGGAGCAAAC